rnacentral:rRNA from 1 species
CCCUUAGAUGUCCUGGGCCGCACGCGUGCUACACUGACGCAUACAGCGAGCACUUUCCAGUUCCGAGAGGCUACUGGUAAUCAUCAAUAUGCGUCGUGAUGGGAUAGAUCUUUGGAAUUCUGGAUCUUGAACGAGGAAUGCCUAGUAAUCGCAGGUCAUUAGCCUGCGAUGAUUAAGUCCCUGCCCUUUGUACACACCGCCCGUCGCUACUACCGAUUUCGAGUGGUCAGGUGAAUCUUUCGGACUGUGGGCGCCCUUGAGGUGUUCGCGGAAAGUCAGGUAAAUCUUAUCACUUAGAGGAAGUAAAAGUCGUAACA